GAGCAAUGAGGAAAAAUGCGCCCAAUGAUGGGUUGGGUCCCAUCAAUCAUCUGAUUCCAAGAUGACGAUAAGCGCACCUGAGCUC